AACCCAUAAUGAGAAGUUGCGUAUACUUCUGCGCUAAAGGGAAUGGUACAUCGGACUAUGGAUAUCGGACAGACGGCUAUUGCUGGGGCAGAUACGAAAGAGAAGUACACGACACCGAACACUUUGUGGGAGUAUGCAAAGAUGGCUACUGCAAACAGGAUGACAGAGGCCUUCAGUGGUACCAUACAUGUCCGGACGAAAAGUACAAUCAAGAGGAGCACGGUGACGCACCUGUGACAAAAUGCUAUUUCGGCUGUCGCCCGGAAGACACAGAAAGACACUACGGAUUUUUGCAGGGUUAUCCAUG